AUUUGACGGGAAAGAUAACAUCUUCGUACCUUUGUGUUCAUUCAUUGUCUUCAAUGUGAUGGACUGGAUUGGCAGAAGUCUCACUUCUCGUCUUCAGUGGCCUUCGAUGAAGAGUCAUUUAUUCCCUCUUUUUGUGGUAUUACGGGUAGUUUUCAUUCCUG